AUUGAACGCUGGCGGCAGGCCUAACACAUGCAAGUCGAGCGGAGCGGCGGACGGGUGAGUAAUGCCUAGGAGUCUGCCUGGUAGUGGGGGUUAACGUCCGGCAACGGACGGUAAUACCGCAUACUAUCAGAUGAGUCUAGGUCGGAUUAGCUAGUUGGUGGGGUAAAGGCCUACCAAGGCGACGAUCCGUAACUGGUCUGAGAGGAUGAACAGUCACAGUGCAACUGAGACACGGGCCAGACGCCUACGGGAGGGAGCAGUGGGGAAUAUUGGACAAUGGGCGAAAGCCUGAUCCAGCCAUGCCGCGUGGGUGAAGAAGGUCGUCGGAUUGUAAAGCACGUGAAGUUGGGAGGGGUUACCAACAGAAUAAGCACCGGCUAACUUCGUGCCAGCAGCCGCGGUAAUAC
rnacentral:rRNA from 1 species